AUUGAACGCUGGCGGCAUGCCUUACACAUGCAAGUCGAACGGCAGCACGGGUGCUUGCACCUGGUGGCGAGUGGCGAACGGGUGAGUAAUACAUCGGAACAUGUCCUGUAGUGGGGGAUAGCCCGGCGAAAGCCGGAUUAAUACCGCAUACGAUCUACGGAUGAAAGCGGGGGACCUUCGGGCUUCGCGCUAUAGGGUUGGCCGAUGGCUGAUUAGCUAGUUGGUGGGGUAAAGGCCUACCAAGGCGACGAUCAGUAGCUGGUCUGAGAGGACGACCAGCCACACUGGGACUGAGACACGGCCCAGACUUCUACGGGAGGCCACAGUGGGGAAUUUUGGACAAUGGGCGAAAGCCUGAUCCAGCAAUGCCGCGUGUGUGAAGAAGGCCUUCGGGUUGGAAAGCACUUUUGUCCGGAAAGAAAUCCUUGGCCCUAAUACGGUCGGGGGAUGACGGUACCGGAAGAAUAAGCCCCGGCUAACUACGUG
rnacentral:rRNA from 1 species